rnacentral:rRNA from 1 species
CACGUAGGAGGCGAGCGUUGUCCGGAAUCAUUGGGCGUAAAGAGCGCGCAGGCGGCUUGGCAAGUCGGGUGUGAAAUCCCGGGGCUCAACCCCGUGACUGCAUCCGAUACUGUCAGGCUAGAGGUAGGUAGGGGAGAUCGGAAUUCCUGGUGUAGCGGUGAAAUGCGCAGAUAUCAGGAGGAACACCGGUGGCGAAGGCGGAUCUCUGGGCCUUACCUGACGCUGAGGCACGAAAGUGUGGGGAUCAAACAGG